UUAAAUGGUAGUACUUCAUUAGGCAUAACAAUUAAAUAUUGAAUUGACAAGAAAUUAAAUUGAUGUCUAAUGAGGAAAGACCAAGGAAACAGGGCAAGGAAACAGGGAUUUUCAUUUCACAGAAAGACCACAGUGCAGUGCUAGAAGUAUUUACUCUCACUGGUGUCUUUGCCUAAUUCCUGUAUUAGAAAGCAAAGAGUUCUUUUUUUGACAAACUUUUGUCAUUUUAUCUGAAAGGCAGAGAGGUCUUGCACCUGCUGCUUUCCUCCCUACAUGCUCACGACAUCAGGGCUGUGCCAGGCUGAAGCCGGGCGUCUGGAUCCCACCCGCCACCUGCCAUUUCCCAGGCUCCCCAGUACUACUCCUGGAAGGGUAGCAGGUCAUGGCCCAUGUGCCUUGACCCCUGUUACCCAUGCGGCAUAAGCAAAUGGACUUCCUGGUUACUCACCUUGUGCUGGUCCAGCCCUCUCUGAUGUGAUCAACUGGGGAGUGAAGCAUCCAUGGAAGGGGCCGUAUUCUGCCAGCACUGUACUGCACGCUGCCUGGCUCAGUGGGCCUGGGAGUCUGCAUCUCCGAUGGUUGCUGACGGGGUGGAAGAGCGACUAGGACAACAGCAGCACCGGCGGCGAGGGGCAGCUGGGUGGCUCUGCUCUGCUGCGGGGGUGUCGGUGUGACGAGGUUGGAGAGCACAGAGAGCAAGCCACGAAAGGUGCAGCCCUGUCUGCCCAGCUCUGUCUGCCGUGGAGAGCAGCUUGCAGCCAAGAGAGCCUGCACAGCGGAAACCUGGUCAACAGUGAUAUCCACUCAGACUGCAGAACUAGCAAGCCUGGGCUGGCACAGGGUGCUUUCCCCAGACGAGGGGGCCAGCCAUGCUGUGGCCUGCACCCCCAAAGGCUGCUGU